UCGGCCUCCGUAGUUCCCGAACUGCCCGCCGCAAUGCCUGCUGGGGCUUGAAGUCCUUAUCAUCCGGGCCAGAAAGCCUGCAGGUUUUCAAUUGGCACAGUUCCGGCAGCAGUGCCAUCAGCAGCGGUGGGGCCUUUCAGAGGUGGGGCCUAGCACGUCCCUGGGGGCGUGGUCUGCCAGAGGAUGACGGCAGCCGUGGCAGCCACCAUCUCACCCACCCAUCUCUUCCUCUUUUUACCCAUAAUUGCCAAGAGGUUAGGAGCUUUGCCACAGCCACACACCCCUGCCAUAUUGUGCUGCCUUGUGGCAGGCCCAAAAGCAAGGGACCAAGCCGUUGUGGACGCAGACCUGCAAAACUGUGAGCCGAGGGCCUCGAAAAAAUGAGCUUCUCUGAUUGGACAGGUUGGGUCACGUGCUCCACGUCGCCAAGAAAAACUGGGACGUACUGAUCUGUACGGUCACCAGCUUCACGUAGAACAAUUCCUUAAAGAAAGAUGGGAGGCUGCCGAAACCAGAAGAAAGGGAAAAACUGAGUCCCCACAAGGAGGAGCAAGGAGCCGUUCGCCUUGGAAAAUGACAGAAGGAGCUGGGUACUGAUAGCAGGCUCAGAGGGAAAUCACAAGAAAGGCAAGAAAGCCAGGCUUACUCGUACCAGCAGUAAGAGGAACUGAGUUAUUUCACGCGGAUGACGGGAACAAAAACAAUGGAGAGGCGACUUAACAGCAGCCUUCACCAGAACCACGGGCAGGGUGUGGCGUCCCUGGUGUUUUUCCAUAGCCUCACUCUGACCUGGAUCGGAGGCACAUCUGUCCCCCUUCCGCCCAUCCCACUUUUACGCUUCUACGUCCACCUCUUGGGAAGCAAAUUGUUCCACUUCCACAGCAAGGAAUAGCUGAGUCAAUGGUACUCAUUUGAGAAGAAGGUUCUGGUUUUGUGACACACGUUUUUGAGAUGAGGAACUGAGCGUCUCAGACUUGUCCAUAGCCAUAGCUGGCUCCUGCUUGUGUGGCCAGGAUCUUUGCGGCCAGGAACAUUUUCCUCACUUAACAAACGUUUGUGUAGAAAAGAUGGUAAGAGAAGAGACUUCCACAAGCCAGGGGUCUUGGCCUUUCUUCUCUACCAGAAAUACCCAUCACAUCGGCCUGUCUGGUUCCAAGAAUGUGAUUCUGGAAACAUAGCUGCAAAUGAAUAAAGAGUCCAGGGAAAG